GUCUAUGGCCAUGCCACCCUGAACAAGCCCGAUGUCUGAUCUCAGAAGCUAAGCAGGGUCGGGCCUGGUUAGUACUUGGAUGGGACACCACCUAGGAAGACCAGGUGCUGUAGGAA
rnacentral:rRNA from 1 species